UGCAGCAGUUGGUGAAGAGGAGGAGGAGGAGGAGGAGGAUUCCUCAGCCAUCUUCGCAUCAAACCCUACAAACUCCAGGGUGUCUUCAAAACGCAGCUUCUUCUGUAUCGCCUCUUUCUUCUCUGUAUUGGCUCAUUCUCUAAGACUGGUCCACAUGGUAGAGACACAGCUACCAACUACUCUGGGGUCACAUCUUUACAGUUCAAGAUCCAAAGAAAAGAGAAAGCUACCUCUCUGCCUCUGAUUGGGAAUAUUCCAAGGAAAGUAUUUUAUCUCUGGCCUGCGUCAUGUGCCUACCCCUUGGAGCUGCCACUGUGUCCAGCAGAUUUGAUAUUGUGAUUAGCCAUCCUGGGUUAGGUGCCCAGCUGUGUGUGUGGAGGGGGAAUGGGACAAGGUACUAUUGUUGCUGGUACCACCAGGACUAAAUUGAAAGGACAGUGAAGAAGGAGCAGAUCUCCAAAGGAAGAAGACUGCUAUUACCAGAAGCAGGGAAGAAGGAAUGCUGGGCAAACCAAAAUAGCAGAUGUCCAUUUCAUAGACUUCUUAUUUUUAAUCGUUUUUAAAUUGCAUUUCUUGGAUUCUCAAUGCAUAUAAUCUUAUCAUCUGCAAAUAAUUAUAAUUUUUCCUCUUUUUCCCAUUUUCUUUUUAGUUUUAUACAGUUUACAUCAUUUUUCUUGGUUUAUUACAUUUCAGAACCUUCAAAACACUGUACUGGACAUCCAUGCCUUAUUCCUGAAUAAGGAAUAAGGGAAAUGACUUAAGUAUGAUGUCUGCUCGUGGCUUUUUGAUACUUUUUACUAUGUUUAAAAAGUUCUCUUCUACUUCAUUGUACUUAGAGUUUUUAUAAGGAAUAGCUGCUGAUUUUUAUGCAGUGCCUUUCGGCCACCCAUUGACAGAUAAGAUGACAUAAAAAUUUAAAAUUUUAAGUAGCAGAGAGAGGUACAGAAAUCACCAAAAAAAA